rnacentral:rRNA from 1 species
GUGAGGAAUAUUGCGCAAUGGAGGCAACUCUGACGCAGCCAUGCCGCGUGCAGGAAGAAGGCGCUACGCGUUGUAAACUGCUUUUAACCGGGAAGAAACCCCAGGACGUGUCCUGGGUUGACGGUACCGGAGGAAUAAGCACCGGCUAACUUCGUGCCAGCAGCCGCGGUAAUACGAAGGGUGCAAGCGUUAUCCGGAUUCAUUGGGUUUAAAGGGUGCGUAGGCGGAGCGUUAAGUCAGUGGUGAAAUCCUGCAGCUUAACUGUAGACUUGCCAUUGAUACUGGCGCUCUUGAGUGCGCUUGAAGUGGGCGGAAUGUGCCGUGUAGCGGUGAAAUGCUUAGAUAUGGCACAGAACACCAAUUGCGAAGGCAGCUCACUAAGGCGAUACUGACGCUGAGGCAAGAAAGCGUGGGGAUCGAACAGGAUUAGAAACCCCUGUAGUCC